rnacentral:snRNA from 1 species
UGGUCUGCAGCACGCGCCUA